rnacentral:rRNA from 1 species
CACGUAGGCGGAUUGGAAAGUCGGUUGUGAAAUCCCGGAGCUCACCUCCGGAACUGCUUCCGAAACUUCCAGUCUGGAGGACGAGAGGGGAGAGUGGAACUUCUGGUGGAGCGGUGAAAUGCGUAGAUAUCAGAAGGAACACCGGUGGCGAAAGCGACUCUCUGGCUCGUUUCUGACGCUAAGGUGCGAAAGCUUGGGUAGCAAACG